rnacentral:rRNA from 1 species
GACGAACGCUGGCGGCGUGCCUAAUACAUGCAAGUUGAGCGAUGAAGAUUGGUGCUUGCACCAAUUUGAAGAGCAGCGAACGGGUGAGUAACGCGUGGGGAAUCUGCCUUUGAGCGGGGGACAACAUUUGGAAACGAAUGCUAAUACCGCAUAACAACUUUAAACAUAAGUUUUAAGUUUGAAAGAUGCAAUUGCAUCACUCAAAGAUGAUCCCGCGUUGUAUUAGCUAGUUGGUGAGGUAAAGGCUCACCAAGGCGAUGAUACAUAGCCGACCUGAGAGGGUGAUCGGCAACAUUGGGACUGAGACACGGCCCAAACUCCUACGGGAGGCAGCAGUAGGGAAUCUUCGGCAAUGGACGAAAGUCUGACCGAGCAACGCCGCGUGAGUGAAGAAGGGUUUCGGAUCGUAAAACUCUGUUGGUAGAGAAGAACGUUGGUGAGAGUGGAAAGCUCAUCAAGUGACGGUAACUACCCAGAAAGGGACGGCUAACUACGUG